UACGAAGGGGGCUAGCGUUGCUCGGAAUCACUGGGCGUAAAGGGCGCGUAGGCGGAUCUUUAAAGUCGGGGGUGAAAGCCCCCGGCUCAACUGGGGAGGGUCACGCGAUACUGAUCGACUCGAAGGCAGGAGAGGGUAGUGGAAUUCCCGGUGUAGUGGUGAAAUGCGUAGAUAUCGGGAGGAACACCAGUGGCGAAGGCGACUACCUGGCCUGUUCUUGACGCUGAGGCGCGAAAGCUAGGGGAGCAAACGGG
rnacentral:rRNA from 1 species